ACAGGCAGCUUAGCGCUCGCUGGCCACAAGCCAACCCUCCUCAGACUCAGGGCCGCCCCUGCGUGUGGCCACUCUGCCCACGUUCCGGGAGACGGUGCUCAGAGAGGUUAAGUGGCCUGCUGGAGGUCACACAGCUGUAGCCGCAGGAAUGGAUGGCUGAGCGGCUCUUUCUCAGAGCUGGAAACGGACUCAGUCGCCCCCACACCCCCACACUUCACCACACCGUCCACGGGAGCUUUAACGGGGCCACGCUCACUUGCCCCCAUCCUGGGCCGAGCCGGCCACACCCCAGGGAGCCGAGGUGAGGCCGGCACGGGGGCACCAGGGUGGGCACGAUCCCACCCUCACCCCUCCCCGCCCGGCCUUUGGGAGGAGCCGCGAUUGGCCAGGGCGGCUUCCUGGUGCAGGUGGGGCCGACUCGGACUCGGGGGGCUCAGGAGGGGCCGGCCGGCGGGAGCCGGACUUCCUUGGACCCAAGAGGACAAGUGCCCUCACGUGCAGGCGACACCCCGAGCCCAGAGACGGCAGACCACUCAGCUGACGUCACACAGCAUCGGGCGAGAAGUCCCGUCCCCUUCACAGCCAUGUCGCUUGCAUCAGCCCACGGCGCCAGCAGCCCCUCGGCGUAGCCACGGACAGGGCGCCGUCCACGCGUGGGAUCGCGCCUGCCACGAACGGGAGUGAAGCUCUGACACGCCACGCAGGGGCCGGGGCUUGGAGACGUGGCGCUGGGUGGAGCCACCAACCUUCCUAGCGUCCGCCUGCAAAGUGUCUCCCCACAAAGGCCCAGUUAACAGAAUGGCGACCACGGAGGGACCCAGGGAGACCCCAGGUUCGCCCAGCGUGACCGGCGCCUGCAGGAGCCACUGAUAGCCCAGCUGCCCCCCGGAACCCGCUGGGAGUAGCUCGGGUCUGGUCCCCUGCAUUCCGGACCCCGGAGAAAAUGUUUCCGUCGGUCCCAGGUUUGGGGGUGCCUAGUCAGACUCAGCUGAUCCGUAAGGUCGUGGGGACGCUCUCAUGAGGUCAGCGUAGCUGCAGAAACCUUAGUUUCAAGGACUCGUUCUCCAAUCCACCACCACAGAGACACUGGUGACGAACAUGGUUAAAAACUGUAAAAAGAAUUCCUGAAAAUGUUUUAAACCUGCCUUGAAAUGAUUUAGGGCUUUGCUGGCUACAAUAAAGUCUCAGGGGACCUCCAGGUUAUCAGUGUGCUCGACUCGAACAAAGAGGCUAUCAAACCUUCCAGAGCAGUGAAGAUUAUACUACCCUGUUUCCCCGAAAAUAAGACAGGG